UACGAGUGCCCCGAGCGUUAUCCGGAAUUAUUGGGCGUAAAGCGUGUGUAGGCGGCCGCGUCAGUCCUCCGUUAAAACCCCGGGCUCAACCCGGGACCGGCGGGGGAGACGUCGCGGCUCGAGGACGGGAGAGGUGCAUGGAACUCACAGUGUAGGGGUGAAAUCCGUUGAUAUUGUGGGGAACACCGAAUGCGAAGGCAGUGCACUGGCCCGUUUCUGACGCUGAGACACGAAAGCGUGGGUAGCGAAUGGG
rnacentral:rRNA from 1 species